rnacentral:lncRNA from 1 species
CUCAUGCCAAGGGACCAACAAUUGGAUGAUUAGAGCUUUGGCCACUGCCUCCUCUAGGAUAAGGGUAACGAAGAGCGACUCCACAAAACAUGUUCCAUCUAGUUCAAUCCCACUCGCAUCUGCCAUAGCCUAUGUAAGAAGAGUGCAAAUAUUCAAAAGUUAAGUAUACAAUUGUCCAAAUCAUAUGAAUAGUUUGAGAGUUACAAAACGUAUCUGGUCUCCAGGUGCAGGUAUAUGUAUGGGGGUGUUAAAAUGGUACAUGUGCAUCCCUGAUCUGUAUUUAAUAGAUAUUUCAUCAAAUUUAGGUAUAAUUCAUGUUUUAUCUCCUACAACUACCAAAUAACGCAUGGACAUACAAUAGGCUAAGUUUUGCUAUAAUAACUAGAAUGAAAUGCUAUGUUGGACUAUGUUAUAAGAGAAUUGGCUAAGAUUAGUGUACCAAAGCUGGUGCGCUGGAAAAAGGAUCCAUUAUGGAUGUGGUGGCGGUCGAAACCCUAUGAAUGUUACGUUCAUGCCCUAUUGCUGGAAUGGCGCCUAUUAAACAAAUGUGUUAGUAUUGUAGAGGUUGUUUCCAAAUCUAUGAAUUUAGAUUUUGCAUAAGUAAUACUUUACUCAAAACAUCAGUUGUAUGCAAGCCAAGAAGUAAUCCAUUGGUUGUCUCAGCUCCUCACCAUCUCCAACUCGUGCUCGGUCAUCCGAUGAGAGCCUGAGCUAUGGGACGAUGAAUCCGUCCUCUAAGCUCUCACCUCAGACGAGUCAAUCAUUUCGUUGAAGAGUGUGGACCUAAAAGUGUUUCAAAAAGUGUGCUUAGGGCAUGAUCAUGUUAGUAGCACUCAUGGAAUUUGAUAACUUAGAGCUAACCAUCCAUGUGCUUUCCGCCACCACUAGCAUGCACGACUAAGGCAUCAAACAGUUCAUGCCGCCAAUCGAAGUCUGGGUCAUGACGUCAAGCCAUAUCCUCCUAAUAUCUCGCCUAUACAACAUUUAUAAAUUUAGAUUUGCUGAAAUUGCAAUAGUUGAAGAUUUACAUUCACCCAAAACUCACUAGCUGAUCCAUGGCCAUCUGGCUACACAACUACCCAGGGUUACUAGGGUCUGGUCCUUUGUCUCCCUGUAUGAACACAUUGAUGUUGCUAGGCUUUUGACCGGUCCUAGCUUCAUGUAUGGAGAAAAUAAUUUCAUAUAUUAGACAAAUAAAAAAAUACACUCACCAAUCUAUAAGUGACCUAAUUAAUGUCUUGUCAGCCUCUUGUUCUUUUUGCAACAGGCGGCAUUACUACGUGGCUCUUCCUACAGUGACGUGUGCGUGCCAUAGUAGAGUCUCUGAAAUCCCUAUUUUCAGCCUCAUCAUCUUGGUCAGGGGCCUCCAUGUGUGGCAUCUCCUACCACUAGUCCCAUGCCUAGUGCUACACCUCUUGGUGCUACACCUGUUGCCACUGGUCCCACACCUGGUGCUACACGACCAAGUUCCAUGCCUAGUGAUGCACCUCCUGGUGCUGUGCUACAUCUUCUCAUAGUGAUGCUCCUCCUAGUGCAUGCAAUUAAAUAUGUAGAUAUAUGUUAACAAUAGAUUCAUUAGUAAGAUAUACGUUAUAAAAAUAAUUAAAUUGUUACCUCAUCUCUCUGGGUAGCGCUCAACGACUCUCGACGCCUGCUGGAGCUCGAAGAAAUGUCCUGAAAUAGGGUCUACCUGGGUCCCUUGAACAACCCAUUCAUUGUCAGCUUCUUCGUCUUUGGUAGCAUCCUAUAUCAAAAUAAGAUAGGUUUCAAUAGUACAAU